rnacentral:rRNA from 1 species
AGCAUAUCAAUAAGCGGAGGAAAAGAAACUAACAAGGAUUCCCUUAGUAACUGCGAGUGAAGAGGGAAAAGCUCAAAUUUAAAAUCUGGCAGUGUUUCACUGUCCGAGUUGUAACCUAGAGAAGUGUAACCUGUGCUGGACCGUGUACAAGUCUCCUGGAAUGGAGCAUCACAGAGGGUGAGAAUCCCGUCUUUGACAUGGACUACCAGUGCAUUGCGGUUGCGCUCUCAACGAGUCGAGUUGUUUGGGAAUGCAGCUCUAAAUGGGUGGUAAAUUCCAUCUAAAGCUAAAUAUUGGCGAGAGACCGAUAGCGAACAAGUACCGUGAGGGAAAGAUGAAAAGAACUUUGGAAAGAGAGUUAAACAGUAUGUGAAAUUGUUGAAAGGGAAACGUUUGAAGUCAGUCGCGUUGGUUGGGGAUCAGCCUGACAUUGUUGGGUGUAUUUCCUGGUCGACGGGCCAACAUCAGUUUUGACUGCCAGAAAAAGGCCAAAGGAAUGUGGCACCUUUGGGUGUGUUAUAGCCCUUGGUCGUAUAUGGUGGUUGGGACUGAGGAAAGCAGCGUGCCGAAAGGCCGGGUUUCGACCACGUUCACGCUGAGGAUGUUGGCAUAAUGGCUUUAAGCGACCCGUCUUGAAACACGGACCAAGGAGUCUAACAUGCAUGCGAGUGUUUGGGUGGAAAACCCUUACGCGUAAUGAAAGUGAAAGUUGAGAUCCCUGUCGCGGGGAGCAUCGACGCCCGGACCAGAACUUUUGGGACGGAUCUGCGGUAGAGCACGUAUGUUGGGACCCGAAAGAUGGUGAACUAUGCCUGAAUAGGGUGAAGCCAGAGGAAACUCUGGUGGAGGCUCGUAGCGAUUCUGACGUGCAAAUCGAUCGUCAAAUUUGGGUAUAGGGGCGAAAGACUAAUCGAACCAUCUAGUAGCUG